UCGCCACCACCACAACCGCCCCUCCCAAAAAAAGCAGUUUGGCCUUCCAUUAAUGAAAGCUCCCUUGCCGUCUCUGCAACAAAGCCUCGGAACUGCACAGAGCCUUUUCCCAACGCUCAUCAAUCGUGGCUGGUCGUCGAACUCCAUUCAAUCACCCGAGAAGAAAGAGAGAACGACAGACCAAAUCGGCAACAAAGUCUUGAUUCUUGAAUCACUCGUGUCUGAAUCUGAAUUGGAAAAGGAGAUUCUGAGUGAGUCAGCCUUGCGUGGGAGUGACAUAUCCAUAGGAAGAUGUCCAUAUGAACAGAGAUCAGCAACUGGUCCAUGUCAGAAUGAAAAGCGUGGGGUGAGAUCAUUGUCAGUGUCUCCAUUCUUCCAUCGGAAAGGGGAGUAUGUUCAAAUCAUUAGCUUUGGAAUCUCCAAUCUUCCAAAGAGAAGAACGACUAACUGAGAGAAAAGCGUGGCGUUCACCAACCUCGUUCACACCAAGAGAGAGACAGAGAGAAAGGAGAUGUAAAUGAAUUCGCAACUCGAAGUCGGCAAACCCCCUUCGACUAUCCACACUAUAAUCACGAGGAAGACUUUGCUCCUGUUUUGAUCCAACAUUAAAAAAAAGGAGGUCCCAAACAUGGAAAGUAUGCAUCAUAUUCAUCUUUGAGCCUCUACUUAAAGCCUCUCCACUCCCCCUUCCUUCAUCCCACCUCAUUACAUCUUUGGCCACCAAACCAUCCUCUGUUUCUCUCUCUCUCCAAGCUCCACAGGAUAGCUGCCAUGUCGAAGUCAACCACCUUCUUUGUGAUAGCUCUUCUCCUCUUCGUCUCCCUCGGCGAAGCAGCUCGGCAUGCGCCAGCAGAUCCAACAAGUACCCAAACGGAGGGUGUAGAAGAGGACAGUUUCGAGAAAAUGGAUGAGGAGUGUGGAGGGGUUGGCAAGGAGGAGUGCCUGAUGAGGAGGACGCUUGCGGCUCACACAGACUACAUCUACACCCAAGGGAAGAAGCACUGAUAAGAGCAGGAACAGCCCUGCUACCCAUGGAUUACUUGUUAGCUCUUGCACUACCAUUGUUGCAAGGAUCUUAUGCUGAAUCCUACUUCUGUGGCCUUGUCUUGUCCUCUUGGGACUCCUUGGGUUUUUGGUUACAUGUAUAUGAGAAGGAACUGAUGAAUGUUUUGGAAUAAAAUGCGCGGAAUUUAUCCUGCA